rnacentral:rRNA from 1 species
AUUGAACGCUGGCGGCAUGCUUUACACAUGCAAGUCGAACGGUAACAGGUUAAGCUGACGAGUGGCGAACGGGUGAGUAAUGCAUCGGAACGUGCCCGAUCGUGGGGGAUAACGCAGCGAAAGCUGCGCUAAUACCGCAUACGAUCUGAGGAUGAAAGCGGGGGACCGUAAGGCCUCGCGCGAUCGGAGCGGCCGAUGUCAGAUUAGGUAGUUGGUGGGGCAAAGGCUAACCAAGCCGACGAUCUGUAGCUGGUCUGAGAGGACGACCAGCCACACUGGGACUGGGACACGGCCCAGACUCCUACGGGAGGCAGCAGUGGGGAAUUUUGGACAAUGGGCGCAAGCCUGAUCCAGCAAUGCCGCGUGCAGGAAGAAGGCCUUCGGGUUGUAAACUGCUUUUGUACGGAGCGAAAAGGCUCUCUCUAAUACAGGGGGCUCAUGACGGUACCGUAAGAAUAAGCACCGGCUAACUACGUGCCAGCCGCCGCUGUAACAC